AGGACGAACGCUGGCGGCGUGCUUAACACAUGCAAGUCGAGCGGAAAGGCCCUUCGGGGUACUCGAGCGGCGAACGGGUGAGUAACACGUGAGCAAUCUGCCCUUAGCUUCGGGAUAGCUCCGGGAAACCGGAAUUAAUACCGAAUAUGACCUCGGCUGACAUCGGCUGCGGUGGAAAGUUUUUCGGCUAGGGAUGAGCUCGCGGCCUAUCAGCUUGUUGGUGGGGUAAUGGCCUACCAAGGCGACGACGGGUAGCCGGCCUGAGAGGGCGACCGGCCACACUGGGACUGAGACACGGCCCAGACUCCUACGGGAGGCAGCAGUGGGGAAUAUUGCGCAAUGGGCGAAAGCCUGACGCAGCGACGCCGCGUGGGGAUGAAUGCUUCGGUUGUAAACCCUUUCAGCAGGACGAAGCGAAAGUGACGGUACCUGCAGAAGAAGCGCCGGCUAACUACGCGCCAGCAGCCGC
rnacentral:rRNA from 1 species